rnacentral:rRNA from 1 species
AGCGAACGCUGGCGGCAGGCUUAACACAUGCAAGUCGAGCGGGCAUCUUCGGAUGUCAGCGGCAGACGGGUGAGUAACACGGGGGAACGUACCCUUCGGUUCGGAACAACUCUGGGAAACUGGAGCUAAUACCGGAUACGCCCUUAUGGGGAAAGGUUUACUGCCGAAGGAUCGGCCCGCGUCUGAUUAGCUAGUUGGUGGGGUAACGGCCUACCAAGGCGACGAUCAGUAGCUGGUCUGAGAGGAUGAUCAGCCACACUGGGACUGAGACACGGCCCAGACUCCUACGGGAGGCAGCAGUGGGGAAUAUUGGACAAUGGGCGCAAGCCUGAUCCAGCCAUGCCGCGUGAGUGAUGAAGGCCUUAGGGUUGUAAAGCUCUUUUGUCCGGGACGAUAAUGACGGUACCGGAAGAAUAAGCCCCGGCUAACUUCGUG